rnacentral:tRNA from 1 species
GGCCGCGUAGCUCAGUUGGUUAGAGCGCCGCCCUGUCUCGGCGGAGGUCGCCGGUUCAAGUCCGGUCGGGGUCG